rnacentral:rRNA from 1 species
UACAGAGGGGGCAAGCGUUUUUCGGAAUUAUUGGGCGUAAAGGGCGCGUAGGCGGCCUGACAAGUGGAAGGUGAAAUCCCUCGGCUUAACCGAGGAACUGCCCUCCAAACUGUUUGGCUUGAGACCGGGAGAGGUGAGUGGAAUUCCCAGUGUAGCGGUGAAAUGCGUAGAUAUUGGGAGGAACACCAGCGGCGAAGGCGGAUCUCUGGGCCGAUACUGACGCUGAGGAGCGAAAGCGUGGGGAGCGAACAGG